GAUUAUGGCUCAGGAUGAACGCUAGCUACAGGCUUAACACAUGCAAGUCGAGGGGCAGCAGGAAUCUAGCUUGCUAGAUUGCUGGCGACCGGCGCACGGGUGAGUAACGCGUAUCCAACCUUCCCCAUAGUAGAGGAUAGCCCGGCGAAAGUCGGAUUAAUACUCUAUGUUGUAUUUUGAGGACAUCUGACGAAUACCAAAGAUUGAUCGCUAUGGGAUGGGGAUGCGUCUGAUUAGGUUGUUGGCGGGGUAACGGCCCACCAAGCCGACGAUCAGUAGGGGUUCUGAGAGGAAGGUCCCCCACAUUGGUACUGAGACACGGACCAAACUCCUACGGGAGGCAGCAGUGAGGAAUAUUGGUCAAUGGGCGAGAGCCUGAACCAGCCAAGUAGCGUGCAGGAUGACUGCCCUAUGGGUUGUAAACUGCUUUUAUAGGGGAAUAAAGUCCACUACGUGUAGUGGUUUGUAUGUACCCUAUGAAUAAGGACCGGCUAAUUCCGUGCCAGCAGCAGC
rnacentral:rRNA from 1 species